rnacentral:lncRNA from 1 species
CUCCUCCCUCCCGGCCGGUCCGAGGAGCCUGCGCUGCCCCGAGCCCGCCGCUCCGAGCCCAUGGCAUCGCCGGCCGUGGGGCCGUGCCCCCGCCCGCUGCCGGGCCCCUCCGCCGGCCCCGGGCUGCCCACGGGGAGCCCCGGCGGGGCCAAGGCUGCUCGGCGGCUGCGGAGGCGCGGGGGAGCCCCCCGGUUGCUGCCCGACGUGCGGAGCAUCUUCGCGGCUCCGCGGGACCCCCCCGAGCGCGGCCGCGGUCACCGCUUCGCCCCGCGGCUGCCGCGCCGGGGAUGGUGCGACCUGUGCGGGGAGGCGGUGCGGGAGCGCGCCCUGCGCUGCGACUGAGGCGUUGAUGCCGAUGCCAUUCCCCGCAGGCCUGUGCCAGCAAAGUCACCGAGAAUUAUGCAGACUGUGGGAGCAGUUCUGCCUCCAAAACUCCCCAAACAACCGGGAUGGGGGGGAGGGACGCUCCGAUCUGCAUUCCCUGUCAUCCCAAUAGUGAUUCCCAUUAAAAACGCCCCAGAGCUGCAGACGGGGCGUGCUCUCCCCUCUUGAUGAACAUUCAAUUUUUUUCUCUCUGAUGCAGAGUUGCUGUUUGUUUGCUUUUGACGUGCAGCCUGGGGAUACUCAGGUUUUUGUUUGCACAGUUCUGGCCUAUUUUUAUUUACGUCAGAUCUGGUUGCAUUUNGGCUCAGGGGGACCUUCUGUGAUUUUUAACCCAAGU